UACCACAGGCAACCCUGAUCCACCAUUCCGCGUGAGUGAAGAAGGCCUUCGGGUUGUAAAGCUCUUUUGUCGGGGACGAAACGGUUACGACGAAUACUCGUGACAACUGACGGUACCCGAAGAAUAAGCACCGGCUAACUACGUGCCAGCAGCCGCGGUAAUACGUAGGGUGCGAGCGUUAAUCGGAAUUACUGGGCGUAAAGCGUGCGCAGGCGGUUUUGUAAGCCAGAUGUGAAAUCCCCGGGCUUAACCUGGGAAUGGCAUUUGGGACUGCAAGGCUAGAGUAUGGCAGAGGAGACUAGAAUUUCUGGUGUAGCAGUGAAAUGCGUAGAUAUCAGAAGGAAUACCGAUGGCGAAGGCAGGUCUCUGGGUCAAUACUGACGCUCAUGCACGAAAGCGUGGGGAGCAAACAGGAUUAGAUACCCUGGUAGUCCACGCCCUAAACGAUGUCAACUGGUUGUUGGGAGAUUUAUUCUCUUAGUAACGAAGCUAACGCGUGAAGUUGACCGCCUGGGGAGUACGGUCGCAAGAUUAAAACUCAAAUGAAUUGACGG
rnacentral:rRNA from 1 species